ensembl:lncRNA
AGAUGUGGCAGAUGUUGCAGAUGUGGCAGAUGUUGCAGAUGUGGCAGAUGUUGCUGAUGUGGCAGAUGUUGCUGAUGUUGCUGAUGUGGCAGAUGUUGCUGAUGUUGCUGAUGUUGCUGAUGUUGCAGAUGUUGCAAAUGUUGCAGAUGUUGCAGAUGUUGCAGAUGUUGCAGAUGUUGCAGAUGUUGCAAAUGUUGCAGAUGUUGCAGAUGUUACUGUAGAUAGACAUAAUAAGCGUCCAUUUAGUAUGAAUCUUGAUAACGGUAAGCCUAACUGUAACACCAACAGUAGUAGUAGUAGUAGUAAUAGCACCAUAUAUUAUAGUAAUAGCAUUAGUAAAGACGAAAAAUAUUAUGGUAUCGGUACCAUAGUAGAAAAAGAAAAAAAUUUAGGUAAUACAAAUGGAGAUGAUAACAAAAAAAGUGAAAUAAAAAAAAAAAAAUUAAGCGAUUACAUAUUUAUAAAAUUAAAGAAAAAUAAAAAAAGGUUAAACAAAUUGAAAAAGUUCAAAAAGUUUAAAAAGUUAAAAAAUUUAAAAAAAAUUUAUCCAAAAUUUUUAAAGAGUAAAUCUUAUGAAGAGUUUAAUGAAAAAAUGCGAAAUUAUUUGAUUCCUUAUAACAACAAUAUGAUAGUUAAUAGUCCAAUAAACGGUAGUUUGAACAAGAUGGUGUUAGGGAUAGUAGAAAAGGAACGAGAUGGUGUUAAUUCGGUUUGGGGAAGAAGUAGGAAGGUAUCAGUAUAUGGGCGUAAUAGUAUGCUCAGCGAUAUAUCAAAUGACAUAUCGGUCAAUAAAAUCCUUACAAGUACACUUCCAAAACAUUACAGAAAUGGUAAAAACAAAAGAGACGCAGGUGGUAAUAAGCUUUUCGUGUGUGAUGAAGACGGACAAGAAUCGAUAAAGAAAAAGGAAAAGGAAGAAGACGAAUAUAAAGACGAAUUUAAACUUAUUACAAACGUAUUAGUAUUAAUAAAAAACAUAAAAAUAAAUUUAUUUGAAGACCAGGCUGAUUGUGUUAUAUGCUUAGAACUUAAUAAAUUUUUCAUAAAAAAAGAAUACAUAAAAAAUAUAUUAUAUUAUAAUGUUGAUAUAAAAAUAAAUGACGUUUUAUGUUAUUGUAUUUAUAAAUAUCUAAAUGCGUAUGCUAUUCUUUAUAUUAACAAUAAUAAAAAUUUAAAAACAAGUCAUUUAAGAAUGUUUAUGCGUGAAAUAGAAGCCAAGAGUGGUAGUUUUAUAAAUAACAAAAGAAAGGUUGAUGAGAAAAAUGACACCGCAGCAUACGUCGAUUCAACCAAUUCUUUAUGGCCGAAUAAUUCACCCUCGUUAGUGUACAAUAGGUAUGGUCAUAAAAUAAGGAAAAUGCAUAUGGAUGAAAAGCAUGGGAUAAAUCGCAAGAGAAUACAACAUUUGAACAAACGUAUGACCAACGGUAUGACCAACGGUAUGGCCAACGGUAUUGCCAACGGUAUGGCCAACGGUAUGACCCACUGCACAACCGACUGUAUGCCCAACCGUAUGCCCAACCGUAUGUCAAAACGUAUGUCCAAAAGUAUGUCAAAACGUAUGUCCAAAAGUAUGUCCAAAAGUAUGUCCAAAAGUAUGUCAAAACGUAUGCCCAAAAGCAUGCCCAAACGUAUGCCCCAAAGCAUGCCCAAACGUACAAGCGGUCUCACCACCGACUACACCACAGACCAUGCAGUUGAUAACUCCGACUUUAUUCUUUGUAACUACCAAUAUACACACAAAAGUGACACAUUAUUUUUGCGAUACUUUUUGCUAAGCAUCAAGCCGAUAGUACUUAAUGUCGACAUCAACACGUUUACGAUUUUAUUUUAUUUUUAUAAAACAUUUUUUAAUUCCAAUAAAAAUGAAAUGAAAAAAGAACAAGAUGUAAACAGUUGUAGUAAUUUAUAUUUUUUAAAAAAAAACAAAGAAACUAUAUUUAGUGAAAAAAUAGAUACUUUAUUAAUCAGUAAAAGAAGUUACGAAAAAAAAAAGUAUAGCUAUAACCGUGGGAUAAGUAAAGCAUAUACCGAUGUUGAUGGCAAUGCUGACGUGCUUAAUACAAGGAAUAAUGUUAGUUCUUUUCAUGAAGGAGGAGUAGUAACGUUGGAAAAUGAAAAUAUAUUAUCCAAGAUGACUAAGGACAUAAACC